GCAGGUUCCCCUACGGCUACCUUGUUACGACUUCACCCCAGUCACGAACCCUGCCGUGGUAAUCGCCCUCCUUGCGGUUAGGCUAACUACUUCUGGCAGAACCCGCUCCCAUGGUGUGACGGGCGGUGUGUACAAGACCCGGGAACGUAUUCACCGCGGCAUGCUGAUCCGCGAUUACUAGCGAUUCCGACUUCACGCAGUCGAGUUGCAGACUGCGAUCCGGACUACGAUCGGCUUUCUGAGAUUGGCUCCCCCUCGCGGGUUGGCAACCCUCUGGACCGACCAUUGUAUGACGUGUGAAGCCCUACCCAUAAGGGCCAUGAGGACUUGACGUCAUCCCCACCUUCCUCCGGUUUGUCACCGGCAGUCUCAUUAAAGUGCCCAACU
rnacentral:rRNA from 1 species